CGCGGAGCCGGGGGGGACGUGGGCUCAGGGCGAGCUAUGAGCAGAGACGGAGAGAAUGAUUCUUUUGCAUUGGGGGCUUCCUUGCUAAGCUUUAUUGAAUUGGGUCCAUAUAUGAUACUCUCUCCAUGUCAAAAUAAGUAUAGUUUUUUGCAUCCAAAUUUUGUCCCACAAAGAAUGUAGUUUUAGCUUGUAAUGAGAUUCAUCUAAUUAAAGCAAUACUAAUUAUACUCUCUCCAUGUCAAAAUAAGUAUAGUUUUUUUCCUAUAUGAUUUUUUUGUUUGAUUUUCUUUCUGGAAGAUCACAUCUAGAUAUAAGUGUCACUAUCGAUCUGAUGACAAUUGGAUUGAAUCACUAGAGGUUCAAACAGUAACCAAGCCAUUUGCAGUAGAAGAACAGAAACAUUAUGGAUGGAAUGCUCAAGUUUUGCCAAAAAGGAGGCAUUGGUUUAGGAGGCUUGUUCAGUGGACUCAAAGGGAUACAUCAAAACCUGAAUUCAAUCUGGGACUCAUUGGUCAAGAACAAACAGUGGGUUCUCUCAAUGAAAUAUGGUUCCAAAACCCAUCCAGUGCCAAAGGGGAAAUGAAGCUUCAACUGACAGUAGGCUUUACAGUGUGAAGAAGAACAGAUCGAAGAAUACCCACACAACAGGGCGGCGGCGCGGCGGCGUGCAGUGGAGGCCGCCGACGAGGGCGUGCGCGCGGAGUGGAGGCCGGGGGCGGCGCUCGCAGGG